GAUGAACGCUGGCGGCGUGCUUAACACAUGCAAGUUGAACGAAGUGGCGGAUGGGCGAGUAACACGUGAGGAACCUGCCUUUCACAGGGGAAUAACACUGGGAAACCAGUGCUAAUACCGCAUAGUGAAAGAUGGCCUCGCGCCUGAUUAGCUAGUAGGUGAGGUAACGGCUCACCUAGGUGAUGAUCAGUAGCCGGACUGAAGGUUGAUCGGCCGCAUUGGGACUGAGACACGGCCCAGACUCCUACGGGAGGCAACAGUGGGGAAUAUUGGGCAAUGGCGCAAGCCUGACCCAGCAACGCCGCGUGAAGGAAGACGGUCUUCGAGUCGUAAAGUUCUUUUAUAUGGGUGGUACCAUAAGAAAAAGCCCCGGCUAACUACGUGCCAGCAGCCGCGGUAAUAC
rnacentral:rRNA from 1 species